CAGACUGUAGCAGUGCACUUUACUCCAUAAACCUGUCUUUUGAGAUGGAAGAGUGCCAUUCCACAGCCAUGAAACGUUCUACACUUCCAAGUUACACUGUGUUCUAAAAUUUGGUCAAAAUAAAAGCUUGUUCCCCUUGCUGGAAGUUUCACGGAAAAGGGUUCUGAAGUUAGAACAGAUGGUGCAUCAGUCCAUUGCAGAAUUCUGUUUUCAGACAGAGGAAAACUUUAUAUUGAAGGGUCCAAGAAAAAGCAAUAGUGAGACUGACAAAGAUGGCCUCUGUAAAGGAAGCUGAAGACCACUUUCUUGGACCUCAUUGCACCAACUUCUGUCAUACUUGACUUUUCAGCAGGUAACUCACUAAAUCACUAGUCUGUUCUGUCAUUACA
rnacentral:lncRNA from 1 species